rnacentral:SRP_RNA from 2 species
GCCAGGUAUGGUGGUGCACACCUGUAAUCCCAGUUACUUGGGAGGCUGAGGCAGGAGAAUCACUUGAACCCGGGAGGUGGAGGUUGCAGUGAGCCAAGAUGGUGCCACUGCACUCCAGCCUGGGUGACAGAGGGAGACUCUGUCUCAA